rnacentral:rRNA from 1 species
CCUACGGGAGGCUGCAGUGAGGAAUAUUGGUCAAUGGGCGGAAGCCUGAACCAGCCAAGUCGCGUGAGGGAAUAAGGCCCUACGGGUCGUAAACCUCUUUUGCCGGGGAGCAAGGGCGGGGACGUGUCCCGGCCCGGAGAGUACCCGGAGAAAAAGCAUCGGCUAACUCCGUGCCAGCAGCCGCGGUAAUACGGAGGAUUCGAGCGUUAUCCGGCUUUAUUGGGUUUAAAGGUGGCGUAGGCGGGCUUUUAAGUCAGCGGUAAAAAGUCGGGGCUAAACCCCGCCCGGCCGUGGAAACUGGGGGCAUGGAGUGGGCGAGAGGAAGGCGGAAUGCGUGGUGUAGCGGUGAAAUGCAUAGAUAUCACGAAGAACCCCGAUUGCGAAGGCAGCCUUACGGAGCCCUACUGACGCUGAGGCACGAAAGUGCGGGGAUCGAACAGGAUUAGAUACCCCAGUAGUC